GAAUGUCAAGAGGUGGGCCUGUAGUAAGAAGCAACUCCCAAGCUCACUGUACUGAGAGAUGAGAAUAAGAAAGGAUGAAGUUCUGUCACAUUCAGGAAAAAAUAUAUAGGGUGAACUGAGUGGUGCUUAUAAGCCUUUUCCCAUCCCCUAGGCAAUAUGGAGUUUGUCUAGCGAAGACUUGGACCAGAAGCGAAGAACUCUGCACAUCAGUCUGAAUCUGGGUGCUUGCUUUAUUGGUUAACAAAGACAGGAGACUUGAUUCUGUAAAGAACUGUACUCAUGGCUUCU
rnacentral:lncRNA from 1 species